rnacentral:rRNA from 1 species
GGCGCGAGCGUUGUCCGGAAUUAUUGGGCGUAAAGAGCUUGUAGGCGGUUUGUCGCGUCUGCUGUGAAAGCCCGGGGCUUAACCCCGGGUUUGCAGUGGGUACGGGCAGACUAGAGUGCAGUAGGGGAGACUGGAAUUCCUGGUGUAGCGGUGAAAUGCGCAGAUAUCAGGAGGAACACCAAUGGCGAAGGCAGGUCUCUGGGCUGUAACUGACGCUGAGAAGCGAAAGCAUGGGGAGCAAACAGGAUUAGAUACCCUGGUAGUCCAUGCCGUAAACGUUGGGCACUAGGUGUGGGGGACAUUCCACGUUUUCCGCGCCGUAGCUAACGCAUUAAGUGCCCCGCCUGGGGAGUACGGUCGCAAGACUAAAACUCAAAGAAAUUGACGGGGGCCCGCACAAGCGGCGGAGCAUGCGGAUUAAUUCGAUGCAACGCGAAGAACCUUACCAAGGCUUGACAUAUACUGGACCGCUCUAGAGAUAGAGUUUCCCUUCGGGGCUGGUAUACAGGUGGUGCAUGGUUGUCGUCAGCUCGUGUCGUGAGAUGUUGGGUUAAGUCCCGCAACGAGCGCAACCCUCGUUCUAUGUUGCCAGCACGUAAUGGUGGGGACUCAUAGGAGACUGCCGGGGUCAACUCGGAGGAAGGUGGGGAUGACGUCAAAUCAUCAUGCCCCUUAUGUCUUGGGCUUCACGCAUGCUACAAUGGCCGGUACAAAGGGUUGCGAUACUGUGAGGUUGAGCUAAUCCCAAAAAGCCGGUCUCAGUUCGGAUUGGGGUCUGCAACUCGACCCCAUGAAGUCGGAGUCGCUAGUAAUCGCAGAUCAGCAACGCUGCGGUGAUACGUUCCCG